AAAUUCCCCUUGGGACAGACACUGUAGGUUAAACUGAAUUGGGCUGCUCACCCAAAUAUUCACUGGAGGUGAUGUUGGAGGUGGUAGGUUUCCUCGGGGGUUUGUUUCUAUUUUGAUAUUUUUCUAAAGUGGCGUGUUCAACUUUUUUAUACCACAUUUAAAGCUGACAUUUUAAAAGCAAUAUGUAAAACAUGCAAGUAAUACUGUAUCUUAAUCUGAAACCUUGCUAAUUUAACAAGAGAUCCAUCAUCAGGCAGCUCCCCCACAACGGACAGAAACCACAGGGGUUAUGUGGGUAAGGAUUUUUAAUCUGUUUAUUUAUGAUAAUGUAGGCAGUGUAUCAUGAAAUAAACGUGGUUGUCACACCAUA